AUUGAACGCUGGCGGCAUGCCUUACACAUGCAAGUCGAACGAGUGGCGGACGGGUGAGUAAUGUAUUGGAACCUGCCCGGUAGUGGGGGAUAACUAUUCGAAACGGUAGCUAAUACCGCAUACUAUUCGAUCAGCCCAUAUGGGAUUAGCUAGUGGGGGGGGUAAAGGCUCACCAAGGCGACGAUCACUAGCUGGUCUGAGAGGAUGAUCAGACACAAUGGGACUGAGAAACGGCCCAGACUCCGACGGGAGGAAGAAGUGGGGAAGUUGGCACAAUGGGCGCAAGCCUGAUGCAGCCAGGCCGCGUGUAUGAAGAAGGCCGUAGGGUUGUAAAGGACUUUUAUCAGGGAGGCGGUACCCGAAGAAGAAGCACCGGCUAACUACGUGCCAGCAGCCGCGGUAAUUC
rnacentral:rRNA from 1 species